UGCUUGCCUCAGUUUCAAAAAUUACUAGUUGUCUCUGCACCACACCAUUAACAGCCCUUGUGUAAAUUAGCUUGUAUCAUCAAAUAGAUUUUUUAUUAUUAAUUUAUGCAACGAACAUUUUAAUAAUAUUUUAGUAUAAUUCAUGUGUCCUGUUUUACUAAUUUGGCAUUGACAUUAUACAAUACACUUUCUCUAGCUGUUGUUUUUAGUUAGAAAAUUAACAAGGUGAAGAAAUAAUCAGUAUUACCGAAGAAAAUGAAAUCUAUGAGCUUUGGAACUGAUACACUGCCAAAAGAUUCGAGGGGGAGGAGGGAGGCGGGGCGGAAGGGUAUGAUGAGUAAGAGCUCGCGCAAGCGCAGAAGGAAAUGCAUCGCUGCGGAGAGGGUGGGAGGAGGGAAAGUCUUUUGCGUCCUCGCUUUCCGGAUUGUCGAAAAGUUGCCUAAGUGUCGCGCUGGCUGUGGUGGGGGAGGGAUUGGCUGAGGCGGCGGCGGCGGCGCGGUUCGCGGACUGCGCAGUCCAAGACAGAAACGAUCGCAGGCGGCGGUGGGACUGAGCUCCGGGCUCUGCGCCGGGCCAGGCUGGGCUUGCUGGGCUGGCCCUGUACAACGCCUCUUCCCGGCUCGUCUCGGGGAAGUGCCAGUGACAGACGCUGCUCGAGACCGUCGGGGCCUGUGGGGUCAAGGGGAGCAGCGCGGAUUCUUAGCUGCCAACGCCCCCUUUACAUCCCCUGUCCUCCCUCAUGGGCCGGUGAUUCCCCGGAACCGGGGGAAGGGGGUGGCCAGUGCCUAAGAGAUUUUGUCAAAGUCAGUGGCAGUGCUGCUGCAGUGGGAAUAUCUACCCUCAACUGCAGGAUAAGAGAUGAAGAAACUGGGGCUGAUUAAGAUUAAGUGACUUGCCCAGCAUUGCAGAGCUCUUUGGUAAGUAUCUAAAGCAAGAUUCCAAUUCAGAUCUUCCUGACUCCAUAUUGAUUGCUAUCCAUUGAUGCUACCUAGUUGAUUCAGAUAAUUCACUAAAAUUUUUUAGUAAAUUUCAAAAUAUUCAUCUUAAUACUAUGACUAAAUAAUGAUCCAGCAUGAGUAGGGGUUGUCAAGAGACCAGAACCAGGAGAAUACAAUGUCAACUAAUAACCAGGGAAGACUGUGGAGGAGGAAGAAGUGGAUGGCAGGUCAGGGAGGAUGAGGCCCAAAAAAGGCCAUUUGAUAUAUGAGUUAAAGAUGAUUGGUAGCCUUGAAGGAAGCAUUUUUACUAGAGUAGUGAGUUUGAAAGUCUAAUUAAAAGAUGGUUAAGAAGUGAGUAUUGAGGAAAUCAAGGCAGCUACUAUAGACAAACUUUCUAUAAGAGCUUGGCAAUGAAAGUGAGGAGAAAUGUAAAGCCAUAGCUUGUAGGAAUGACACGGCCAAGGAAAGGAUUUUUUUAAGCUUGUGAGAUAUCCUGAGCAUGUUUGUGGACAAUCUUCUUUGGUAGAUAGGGGCAGAUGAAAGAUGAAAAAGGAAUGAUUGGUGUAGAACAUUCCCCAGGAAAGUAUGAGGUAUGGGGCACAAAUAGAAUAACAUGGGAAAGUAGUGGUCUAAUCCUCAGAGAUUAGACCAUAUACAGUGAGGACAAGUGAACAUCUUAUUGGAUUUUUGAAGUGUGGGUUAGGGAAGAUGAGGGUUCCCAUGACAUCCUCAGUUUUGUCAGUGGAGUGGCAAGCAAGCAAUCUAAGAAACAGGUAUUUGGGGACUGGAGGAGGAGGUUUGGAACAGCUUCUGUGAGGUACAAGAGAGUCUAUCUGCUAUGUAGCAGUGAGAAGCCAGUUGAAAUUAUAUAACUUGAAUUUAUGGUGUACCCAUUUAAUAUGGCUAUGUUACUUCCUUCAGUGUUCUGCAGUAAUAGUGAAAAAGCAAUGGCAACCUUAGUGAUUGGCAAAGGGAUUCAAGAAUAGAGGACAGGGCAUGGUUAAACUGGCUGAUCAUGUUAUCGAGUGUAUAAAUGGAAGAAAGUGAGGUCAGAGCCUGAAUGUUGUUGGACAAAGGGAGCAGGAAGGAUUGGAGAAUAUAGUGAGGGCAAAUAGAUUUAGGAGGUAUGAAGGAGAGGAAAAGAUUGAAGGACAGUUGGUUGGACAAUAGAUUAUAAGAGGAUGGAAUUUCAGAGUUCAAAAUCAUGGAGGUGGUGAGGUUUAGGGUGUGACCACUUGGAGAAGUUGCUGAGGUAGAGGACAAGGUCAUGGGAGUUAAAGAGGUUGAUGAGUGGAAGACUAGCAUGUUCAGUGGAGUAAUGAAGAUUGAACCCCCAGGUGAGAAGAUACAUGGUGAGAUGAAGGAGAUCAAUCAAGGUACGGAAUGGAAGUAGUGAGUUACCAGGAGAUGGGCAAGUUAACAGCAAGAAAUUUUGAUCUAAUGUUGGAAGCCAUUUAUGAAAAGUUCCUAAAAUAAAGAACUCAAAACAAGACAACAGCUUUUAUAGUCUUUACUCAUAUACUAGUCAGUGAUUGAGUCAAAACUGAGACCUGGAUUAAGGGAAGAAUGAUUUGGUUUUCUAGUCAAGAGUUGUAUAUUGGGAUUUGGGGAAAAUUAAAGAUUGUACUUGAGUAUAAGGAAAAGUAAAUUGUGGAUCAAUUAAUUUUAAUACUAGCAGUGAAUAUUUUGAGGAUAAAAGUUGAAACUUAAGGUGAGAUUGUUGUAAUUCUGUGUAAUUUCACUUAAAACAUUCCGGAUAUGUUUCAUUUCUACGAAAUUGACUACAUAAAUAGAAUACUUUUUAAUGCAAUAAUAAAAAUAAAAUAUAUGAUUGAAAAAGUAGAUGCCCAGACAUUGUGAUGACGCCAGGCAAUGAACGCCUUAAGAACUCCCCUCCGCCCAUAACACCUUUAUAGGAAGGCAUGGAUGAGAAUCACGCAAGAGGGUACUGCUCUUGUGCAGGCAUGGACUGAUCUGCAUGGAUUCAGGGAAUAUAUAGAUAGAUUAAAUCGUACAUCCAUUUGACUGUAACAUAAAGUCUGUAAUGAACAAUUGACUAAUUUGUGCUUUCAUUAUUGUGGAUCUUCCUUGUUCUGGUGCUGAUCUCAACCU